rnacentral:lncRNA from 1 species
CACCAAGAUGCCCUCCAACCACGGACAAGAACCUCAGAACCAAGAGCCAAAACAGGCCUUUCUCUCUUUUCAGUUGGUUAUCUCGGUAUUUGUCACAGAGAUGGAAACCUAACACAGAAGUUUAUGUUGGCGAUGGUGAAACAUUUCUGGUUAUAGAGAGUAGUGACGGUAGAUGGUACUGGGAAUACUUUUAUUGCCACCAUAUUCUACCCUUACAAAUGGCUAAAAUAAUAAUUACGUUACAAACUGUUUGUCACAGUACUAAAAAUAAUGUUAGGGAAGAAGCUGAUACAGUGUUGUGCUAUCACCAACAGUUAUGGGGCAUCAUUCCCAUCAGCAGCCAGGGUGAGGGUGAGGACCGACAGACCCUGCGUCUUCCGGAGGCUGCCUUUCAGCAGAAGGGGAAAGGAUUCCGACCUGAGCAAGUGCCCGCACGCAUUACUAGCUUGUGAACCUGACACUGUGAAAACAGCGAGACACAUGGAAGGACAACCACCUCAAAAAAGACUCGAGACACACACCGCAGAGAGAAAGAUGGAUCAAAUACAUCAUCUGAAGCACAAGUGUUAGAAUGGACAGAGGGAGAGUUUAAAUAAACAUGAAUAGUACGCCUAAAGGACUAUAAGGAACAUAUUGGCAACAUGAAAGAACAAAUAAAAAAAUAAUUUUAAAGUAAGUACAAAGAUAGGUAUCAAAAAUAUAACAAUAAGGGCUGGAGAUUUAGCUCAGUGGCACAGUGCCUACCUUGCAAGCAUAAGAUCCUGAGUUCAAUCCCUGGUACAAGGGGCUGCGGAUUUAGCUCAGUAGUUCCACCGGCUGCCUCACAAGUGUGCCUGUAGUCCCAACUAUUUCGGAGACUGAGGCAGGAACAUAACUUGAGCCCCAAGUUUGGAACUAGCCUGGGCAACACCAUGAGACUCUAAAAAAUGUACAUACAUACUUAUAUGAAUCUAUUUCAAUAGGAAUAUAACAUGAUAAAUAUGAUGGAUAUCUCGAGAGAACUAAAGAACAUAAUAGAUGGUGUAAGUAAUAGGAAAGAGAGCGGAAGAGAGAAAGCUAAACUACAAUAUCAGCUUAAGGAAUACACCAGAAGGGAGCAUGAAAGGGCAAGAGCUAUGUCUUGGCUUGUAUCUAGAUGUCCCCCAAAGCCUCAUGCACUCAUUUGUGGGGCUUUUCAGAGGUGGCCGUAUCUAGAGUUGGUAUUUUUGUCCCAGGAACAAGAAAAAGUAACUAAAACAAAUUAUAAAACAGCAAAAG